rnacentral:rRNA from 1 species
CCCGGGUCUUGUACACACCGCCCGUCACACCAUGGGAGCGGGAUGUACCAGAAGUAGGUAGGCUAACCGCAAGGGGGCCGCUUACCACGGUGCGUUUCGGUGACUGGGGUG